UACGGGGGGGGCAAGCGUUGUUCGGAAUUACUGGGCGUAAAGGGUUCGUAGGUGGCUCGCUAAGUCAGACGUGAAAUCCCUCAGCUUAACUGGGGAACUGCGUCUGAGACUGAUGAGCUUGAGUGCAGGAGAGGAACGCGGAAUUCCAGGUGUAGCGGUGAAAUGCGUAGAUAUCUGGAGGAACACCGGUGGCGAAGGCGGCGUCUGGACUGCAACUGACACUGAGGAACGAAAGCCAGGGGAGCAAACGGG
rnacentral:rRNA from 1 species